rnacentral:lncRNA from 1 species
GGCACCACUGUACUCCACCUCCACUCAUCCGGCAUCCUUUUGGUCCUGAAGAUCACAUUGAAUAACCUGGAGAGCCAUUUCACUCCUGACCUACCCAUGCACUUCCAGAACUCCACCGUGAUCUCGUCAGGCCCGGUCGCUCGACCCCUACGCAUCCUAUGCAAAGCCCUCAUGACCUCCUCCGCCCUAAUGCGCCUGCAGUACCCAAGGUCUCUAUGUUGCUNN